rnacentral:tRNA from 1 species
GGGCCCGUGGUCUAGUGGUUAUGAGGGAGCUGGGGAUGGCGAAGUUCGAGGGUUCGAAUCCCUCCGGGCCCACCA